rnacentral:rRNA from 1 species
AGACCCGAAACCCGGUGAUCUAGCCAUGGGCAGGUUGAAGGUUGGGUAACACUAACUGGAGGACCGAACCGACUAAUGUUGAAAAAUUAGCGGAUGACCUGUGGCUGGGGGUGAAAGGCCAAUCAAACCGGGAGAUAGCUGGUUCUCCCCGAAAGCUAUUUAGGUAGCGCCUCGUGAAUUCAUCUCCGGGGGUAGAGCACUGUUUCGGCUAGGGGGCCAUCCCGGCUUACCAACCCGAUGCAAACUGCGAAUACCGGAGAAUGUUAUCACGGGAGACACACGGCGGGUGCUAACGUCCGUCGUGAAGAGGGAAACAACCCAGACCGCCAGCUAAGGUCCCAAAGUCAUGGUUAAGUGGGAAACGAUGUGGGAAGGCCCAGACAGCCAGGAUGUUGGCUUAGAAGCAGCCAUCAUUUAAAGAAAGCGUAAUAGCUCACUGGUCGAGUCGGCCUGCGCGGAAGAUGUAACGGGGCUAAACCAUGCACCGAAGCUGCGGCAGCGACACUCAGGUGUUGUUGGGUAGGGGAGCGUUCUGUAAGCCUGCGAAGGUGGCCUGUGAGGGUUGCUGGAGGUAUCAGAAGUGCGAAUGCUGACAUAAGUAACGAUAAAGCGGGUGAAAAGCCCGCUCGCCGGAAGACCAAGGGUUCCUGUCCAACGUUAAUCGGGGCAGGGUGAGUCGACCCCUAAGGCGAGGCCGAAAGGCGUAGUCGAUGGGAAACGGGUUAAUAUUCCCGUACUUGGUGUUACUGCGAAGGGGGGACGGAGAAGGCUAUGUUGGCCGGGCGACGGUUGUCCCGGUUUAAGCGUGUAGGUGUGUGUUCCAGGUAAAUCCGGUUCACUUUAACACUGAGGCGUGACGACGAGGCACUACGGUGCUGAAGCAACAAAUGCCCUGCUUCCAGGAAAAGCCUCUAAGCAUCAGGUAACAUCAAAUCGUACCCCAAACCGACACAGGUGGUCAGGUAGAGAAUACCAAGGCGCUUGAGAGAACUCGGGUGAAGGAACUAGGCAAAAUGGUGCCGUAACUUCGGGAGAAGGCACGCUGACACGUAGGUGAAGUGAUUUACUCAUGGAGCUGAAGUCAGUCGAAGAUACCAGCUGGCUGCAACUGUUUAUUAAAAACACAGCACUGUGCAAACACGAAAGUGGACGUAUACGGUGUGACGCCUGCCCGGUGCCGGAAGGUUAAUUGAUGGGGUCAGCGCAAGCGAAGCUCCUGAUCGAAGCCCCGGUAAACGGCGGCCGUAACUAUAACGGUCCUAAGGUAGCGAAAUUCCUUGUCGGGUAAGUUCCGACCUGCACGAAUGGCGUAAUGAUGGCCAGGCUGUCUCCACCCGAGACUCAGUGAAAUUGAACUCGCUGUGAAGAUGCAGUGUACCCGCGGCAAGACGGAAAGACCCCGUGAACCUUUACUAUAGCUUGACACUGAACAUUGAGCCUUGAUGUGUAGGAUAGGUGGGAGGCUUUGAAGUGUGGACGCCAGUCUGCAUGGAGCCGGCCUUGAAAUACCACCCUUUAAUGUUUGAUGUUCUAACGUGGACCCGUGAUCCGGGUUGCGGACAGUGUCUGGUGGGUAGUUUGACUGGGGCGGUCUCCUCCUAAAGAGUAACGGAGGAGCACGAAGGUUGGCUAAUCCUGGUCGGACAUCAGGAGGUUAGUGCAAUGGCAUAAGCCAGCUUGACUGCGAGCGUGACGGCGCGAGCAGGUGCGAAAGCAGGUCAUAGUGAUCCGGUGGUUCUGAAUGGAAGGGCCAUCGCUCAACGGAUAAAAGGUACUCCGGGGAUAACAGGCUGAUACCGCCCAAGAGUUCAUAUCGACGGCGGUGUUUGGCACCUCGAUGUCGGCUCAUCACAUCCUGGGGCUGAAGUAGGUCCCAAGGGUAUGGCUGUUCGCCAUUUAAAGUGGUACGCGAGCUGGGUUUAGAACGUCGUGAGACAGUUCGGUCCCUAUCUGCCGUGGGCGCUGGAGAACUGAGGGGGGCUGCUCCUAGUACGAGAGGACCGGAGUGGACGCAUCACUGGUGUUCGGGUUGUCAUGCCAAUGGCACUGCCCGGUAGCUAAAUGCGGAAGAGAUAAGUGCUGAAAGCAUCUAAGCACGAAACUUGCCCCGAGAUGAGUUCUCCCUGAGACUUAGAGUCUCCUGAAGGAACGUUGAAGACGACGACGUUGAUAGGCCGGGUGUGUAAGCGCAGCGAUGCGUUGAGCUAACCGGUACUAAUGAACCGUGAGGCUUAACCUU